AUGGAGCCGACCUUGAAAUACCACCCUUUAAUGUUUGAUGUUCUAACGUUGACCCGUAAUCCGGGUUGCGGACAGUGUCUGGUGGGUAGUUUGACUGGGGCGGUCUCCUCCUAAAGAGUAACGGAGGAGCACGAAGGUUGGCUAAUCCUGGUCGGACAUCAGGAGGUUAGUGCAAUGGCAUAAGCCAGCUUGACUGCGAGCGUGACGGCGCGAGCAGGUGCGAAAGCAGGUCAUAGUGAUCCGGUGGUUCUGAAUGGAAGGGCCAUCGCUCAACGGAUAAAAGGUACUCCGGGGAUAACAGGCUGAUACCGCCCAAGAGUUCAUAUCGACGGCGGUGUUUGGCACCUCGAUGUCGGCUCAUCACAUCCUGGGGCUGAAGUAGGUCCCAAGGGUAUGGCUGUUCGCCAUUUAAAGUGGUACGCGAGCUGGGUUUAGAACGUCGUGAGACAGUUCGGUCCCUAUCUGCCGUGGGCGCUGGAGAACUGAGGGGGGCUGCUCCUAGUACGAGAGGACCGGAGUGGACGCAUCACUGGUGUUCGGGUUGUCAUGCCAAUGGCACUGCCCGGUAGCUAAAUGCGGAAGAGAUAAGUGCUGAAAGCAUCUAAGCACGAAACUUGCCCCGAGAUGAGUUCUCCCUGACUCCUUGAGAGUCCUGAAGGAACGUUGAAGACGACGACGUUGAUAGGCCGGGUGUGUAAGCGCAGCGAUGCGUUGAGCUAACCGGUACUAAUGAACCGUGAGGCUUAACCUU
rnacentral:rRNA from 1 species